rnacentral:rRNA from 1 species
GACAAACGCUGGCGGCGUGCAUGAGACAUGCAAGUCGAACGAAGGAUUGGGGUUGCUUGACCCUUAGUGGCGGACGGCUGCGUAACGCGUAGGUGACCUACCCCGAACUGCGCAAUAACUGCCCGAAAGGGUGGCUAAUUCCGCCUGUGGUCGCAUGUUCUUUCGUGCGUGUACAGCCGUUAGGCGCUUCGGGAGGGGCCUGCGUCCGAUUAGCUCGCUGGUGGGGUAAUGGCCUACCAAGGCGACGAUCGGUAGGUGGUCUGAGAGGACGAUCAGCCAGACUGGGACUGAGACACGGCCCAGACUCCUACGGGAGGCAGCAGUCGGGAAUUUUGCGCAAUGGGGGAAACCCUGAAGCAGCAACGCCGCGUGAGGGAUGAAGGCCUUCGGGUUGUAAACCUCUUUUAUCAGGGACGAUGAUGACGGUACCUGGCGAAUAAGCCACGGCUAACUACGUG